CCAUGGCUCCCAAGACUGGUAUCUCGGCCGUGGCCGCCGGAAUAUUCCAGCUCAACACUGCAGUCGCCGGAUUCCGGCGUCUCGUCGACGCCAUCGGAACCUCCAAGAACACAUCGGAGCACCGCCAAGCCCUGCAAGACGCGAGGAGGCGAAUUGGGCAGUUGGUGAAGGAGACCUCUACCAAGCUCAAAUCCCUCACCGAUGCCAACCGCGACGAAAAUCCAAGCAAGAGGGCAGAGGAGGCGAAGCUGGCGAGAGAUUUCCAGGCAGCGAUUCAUGACUUCCAGAAGGCCCAGAAGCUUGCGGAAGACCGGGAGGCAGCCUACGCCCCUUCCCCUUCUCGGUGUCCUUUGCCCACGAGCUCAGGAGCAGAAGAGAAUGUGAAAGAGGAUGGAGAUGAAGAGGGCCGGCUACUUCUUUGGGAGCAGAAGAGACAAGAGAUACUAUCAUUGGACAAUGAAAUAGCAUUCAAUGAAGCCGUGAUAGAGGAAAAGGAUCAAGGAAUAAAAGCAAUAAACUAUGAUGUAGAACAAGUAAAUGAAAUAUAUCGAGACCUUGCUGUCCUACUUCAUGGCCAGCGUGUUACUAUAGAUGACAUUGAUAAACACAUGGAGGAGACAUCUGCUUCAACAGCCCAAGCUAAAACUGAACUCCGCAAGGCUCCCAAAAAUACUAGGUCUAGAUCUUUGUGGGUUUUUUGGUAAAUGAAAGAGAAAUGAAAGAGAAAAUACAGGACAGGCAGGCAGGCAUGCAAAGACUGCAUGCAGGCAGAUAAGCUUCAUGCUAUUUGUUUGGGAUGAUGUUAAGUGUGUUGUUGGGCGUUGGUAAUCUUCGUCAUAGUACUGGUUAUCCUUCUUCUUGUCCUCAUCAUGUACCAAUAAGUUGCCUUGCAAGAAUGAUUUCUUUGCUGUAUUUUGGUAUAAUAACUGGAUACUACAAGCACAUUAUUUGUACAUAUUAAUGGAUAAACUUUACCUACGUCAAUGCAUCUAUCAUGACUGAAAAUUUUGGAGCAA